rnacentral:rRNA from 1 species
GACGAACGCUGGCGGCGUGCUUAACACAUGCAAGUCGAACGGAAAGGCCCUUUCGGGGGUACACGAGUGGCGAACGGGUGAGUAACACGUGGGUGAUCUGCCCUGCACUUUGGGAUAAGCAUGGGAAACUGGGUCUAAUACCGGAUAGGACUACGCGAUGCAUGUCGUGUGGUGGAAAGCUUUUGCGGUGUGGGAUGGGCCCGCGGCCUAUCAGCUUGUUGGUGGGGUGAUGGCCUACCAAGGCGACGACGGGUAGCCGGCCUGAGAGGGUGACCGGCCACACUGGGACUGAGAUACGGCCCAGACUCCUACGGGAGGCAGCAGUGGGGAAUAUUGCACAAUGGGCGCAAGCCUGAUGCAGCGACGCCGCGUGGGGGAUGACGGCCUUCGGGUUGUAAACCCCUUUCAGCACAGACGAAGCGUAAGUGACGGUAUGUGCAGAAGAAGCACCGGCCAACUACGUG